GACGAACGCUGGCGGUGUGCCUAAUACAUGCAAGUCGAACGAUAAGGUCCUUCGGGAUACAUAAGUGGCGGACGGGUGAGUAACACGUAGAGAAUCUGCCUCAAGGAGGGGGAUAACAUUGGGAAACUGGUGCUAAUACCCCAUAUGUGGUGAGCUGAAAUGCUUAUCAUGAAAGAUUUAUUGCCUUGAGAUGAGUCUGCGUCUGAUUAGCUUGUUGGUGGGGUAAUGGCCUACCAAGGCGACGAUCAGUAGCUGGUUUGAGAAGAUGAUCAGCCACAAUGGGACUGAGACACGGCCCAUACUCCUACGGGUGGCAG
rnacentral:rRNA from 1 species